ACCAGAGGCGACUUUUCUCUCUUGUCACGAAUCCAAAAGGCAAGGAAGGCAACAGGAACAGGUACAACAGAUGCAAAGCAGCCUUCUUUGCCAGGGUGCUGGCUGCACUUCACCAGCUCCUUCUUCCUGAAGCCUCCAGACCAUCGCCGUUCUCCUCUGCCAUUGCUUCGCCAUCAAGUUCGCCAUUCAGGACCAUCAACAAAAUGAUGCUGUCCUUGAGGCUGAGGUAGUAGAUUGAAUAGUUGUGGAGCCAUAUUCUCCCUCUGAGCUAACUAUACAAUCUACUGUCUUUCCUAAGGAGACAGUCAGGUCAUCUCAUCCUUUCGGAUCACCCAUCCUCAUCUGCCAUGAAGAAUAUCGCUUUUGCCCCCUUUGGCACCAGACCCACGCUCCCAUGGCUGCUGGAAAUUCUGGGACAUCCUCUGUCCUGCCCCGUGGAGGUGAGGUAGUAGGUUGUAUAGUUUGUGGGAGGGAUUACAUCCCAGUUCAGGUGAUAACUAUACAGUCUAUUGCCUUCCUUAAGGAGCAGCAAAUCUGCCUUAGGAACAGUUUGAUGCACUUAACUUCAGAAUGGUUUCUCCUUUCAUGACAUGGGGCCCUCAUUAUGUUCAGGAACUUGUUUCUUACAAAGCACACCAUGAGUUUUCCUUUUGAUGGUCCUUCACGUGCUACUUUCCCUCCUUCCCUUUUCCACAGGAGUGAGUGGGGAACUUUCUUCUGCCCAAAGGUCACAUUUCCUUCCGAGGGCCACAAGCCUAUAGUGGAAUGAUGUUAAGACAAUUGAGGGUCAGUAAUUCCUGGAUGAUCAACUGCAAAUCACCAGUAGAUCCUGAACUAACUUUCCCUCAUUCCUGUCCUACCUUCAUGGAAGAUGGACAAUUCUGGCAGUUUCAAUUUCUCUUUUUUCUGGUCUCAAAUUCAGUUUCCACAUUAGCUAGUAUCCUGGCAGUUGUGCUUUGUACUAACUGCAGUUUACCAGAUCAUUGGUAACUGUAGCAAAACUAUAACUCUCCAGGAGGGAUCAUGACUGGCACCCCAAUCUUAGCUGAUGAAAACUGUUCCAUGCCUCUUGGGCCUCUGACCAUAGAGCUUUUCCUCACAUCAAGCAGGACACAAGCAAAAGUAUAUUGUAUUUGUCUUACAUUUUAUGUUAUGUUUUAAAAUAGGUGAGUUGUGAAUUAUGGAACUCUUAAAGAUUGUUUAUUGUUCUAUGCCUUCAUUUUUUGAUUCCCAGAUGAUGUCAAAGGGCUAACUAAUAGGAAACCAGUAUCUUCUGGAUGGGCCUCUGGAAUGACUGUGGUGGGAGACUAGAGAGACUGAGCAGGCCAGGAAGCACUGUAGUUGGUCAGGGCACAGACAAGUGCCCAGAACCAAGACAGAGGCACACAAAUAGAGCACAAGAAACUCUGGCCAACUCUUGUUACAUAUCACUGUGACUCCUGAUUAAAACCUCCUGCUUCAAGUUGCUCUUGAAACAGAGACCUAGGGAGAAGGAUUGUGUGGGUCUCCUAAUGUUUCUGAUCUACAGCUCCCAUCAUCCCUGAUGAUUGGUCAUGCAGGCUGGGGCUGAUGGGAGUUGGAGUCAAAUGAUACCAUGAAGACCACAUGUUCACCACAGGCUCAAUGCAUGGGCAGGUUUGCAUGGAAGCAAGCAGCCCUUGUUCAAGAACCAGUAGCUUGAAGUUUUUCUGGAAACACAUUCAUAGCUAAUGAAGGUCUUUGAACAUUGGAGAAAAACAGACAAAUCUAUGGAUCCCAGUUAUUAAUUGUGCUGCCCUAUUUUGUACCAACUGAGGUUUUUAAAUUUUUCCUUCCGAGACAGCACCACAAUUAAUGCACUGCAACAAUCCAGUUAAGUGUGGUAAAAUCAGGUUGGCUGACAGCAAUUGCUAUGGCUGCCUUUUGCUGAUACAAAUGUCCUCACACAUCCAGAUCUUGCUGGUGCCACAGACAAGACGCUGGGCAGGAUGGUCUCUUGGUCAGACCCAGCCAGGCCAAUCCGGUUUAAAUACAGCCACCCACAAGACAAUAAAUUUCUAGGACAAAUGCCAAGUGUAAUAUAAACCCUUACAUUUUUGCAUCGCUUGGGGGAGAGGAGGAGGAGGAAGUGAGAGAUGCAGGAAUUCAGAAUGGAGCCUUUUUGAACUUCUCAUUGGUUUUGCUGCCGUUGGAGUGCAUGGCUGGCUUUGUGUGUUGUCUGUGGCUAGAUCAACACUCGCCUCAGACUUUCUGUAGAUACCCAGCACCUUAUGCCAACAGUUCAGCUCUUAUCACAGUGACAGAGAGCUUGCAGAAGCUGUUUCGUGAGUCAUGAAAAUCCAUAAAGUGACUCUGAGCUUCAGCAGCGGUGACCUACGAACAUAGCUCCCUCUCCUGCUAAAUGCAUGCAAAUGGGUAAUUCACUGGUGCCGGGCUGCAUUCAAGCACCUCACCAUUGGUGGUCACCAUAGCGAGGGGGGCUGAAACCCCAGCUGCACGCAAUCCUGCCUCCCUGGAGCUUCACCCUUCCUAUGUGCAGAAUGUGUAAUUCAGAGACUUGUGAAGCCUCUGACAGCGAAGGGAGGGGUAGCUUGGAGCUGGUCCAUGAAUUACUAACAAAAGGGCUUGUGUUUGACAGCUUCAGCUGCUAUAGCAACAUGGCUGCAGAUAAAGAGUGUUAGCUGUCCCAUCCUGCAACUCUCGGGAGAGGCAAGUUUAGGCAAAAAGGGAGUCAUCAAUGCCCACGGCCAGCAGGGCAAGCGAGGGUGGGACUGCCAGCUCCCUCUCAUUUGCCUGCAAUCCGCGGUUGUAGGAGGGGUUUGCAGCUUGUGCUUGAUCUAUAUAACCUUGCUAGAUUUUUUUUUAAGCAGCUUUUAUCACCAUCAACAAUGAGCCCAGAGGAGACGUUUGAGCGCCUGUUGUGCCUUACAGAGGCAUUGUAGCAACGUAAGUUUAAGGGUUUUGUCCCUUAACUUAAUGUUUUUAUUUAAAUAAAAAUGUCAAAAGUU